CAGAGUGAACGCUGGCGGCGUGCUUAACACAUGCAAGUCGAACGAGAACGGAUGUUAGUUUACUAACAUUGUCAGCUAAGUGGCGCACGGGUGAGUAAUAUAUAGUUAAUCUGCCUCAAAGAAGGGAAUAAUUGAUGGAAACGUCUUGUAAUGCCCUAUAUGCCUUUAUAACAUAAGUUAGCAAGGGAAACGCUUUUGUGCUUUGAGAUGAGACUGUACAGUAUCAGAUAGUUGGUGGGGUAAUGGCCUACCAAGUCUAUGACGCUUAACUGGUUUGAGAGGAUGAUCAGUCACACUGGAACUGAGACACGGUCCAGACUCCUACGGGAGGCAGCAGUGGGGAAUAUUGCACAAUGGACGAAAGUCUGAUGCAGCAACGCCGCGUGGAGGAUGACACAUUUCGGUGCGUAAACUCCUUUUAUAUGAGAAGAUAAUGACGGUAUCAUAUGAAUAAGCACCGGCUAACUUCGUGCCAGCAGCCGCGGUAAUACGAGGGGUGCAAGCGUUACUCGGAAUCACUGGGCGUAAAGAGAAUGUAGGCGGUUAAUUAAGUUAGAAGUGAAAUCCUAUGGCUCAACCAUAGAACUGCUUCUAAAACUGAUUAACUAGAGUAUGGGAGAGGUAGAUGGAAUUUCUGGUGUAGGGGUAAAAUCCGUAGAGAUCAGAAGGAAUACCGAUUGCGAAGGCGAUCUACUGGGAACAUUACUGACGCUCAGAUUCGAAAGCGUGGGGAGCAAACAGGAUUAGAUACCCUGGUAGUCCACGCCCUAAACGAUGCACACUAGUUGUUGCUAUACUAGAUAUAGCAGUAAUGCAGUUAACACAUUAAGUGUGCCGCCUGGGGAGUACGGUCGCAAGAUAAAACUCAAAGGAAUAGACGGGGACCGCACAAGCGGUGGAGCAUGUGGUU
rnacentral:rRNA from 1 species